CGAACGGUAACAGGAAGAAGCUUGCUUCUUUGCUGACGAGUGGCGGACGGGUGAGUAAUGUCUGGGAAACUGCCUGAUGGAGGGGGAUAACUACUGGAAACGGUAGCUAAUACCGCAUAACGUCGCAAGACCAAAGAGGGGGACCUUCGGGCCUCUUGCCAUCGGAUGUGCCCAGAUGGGAUUAGCUAGUAGGUGGGGUAACGGCUCACCUAGGCGACGAUCCCUAGCUGGUCUGAGAGGAUGACCAGCCACACUGGAACUGAGACACGGUCCAGACUCCUACGGGAGGCAGCAGUGGGGAAUAUUGCACAAUGGGCGCAAGCCUGAUGCAGCCAUGCCGCGUGUAUGAAGAAGGCCUUCGGGUUGUAAAGUACUUUCAGCGGGGAGGAAGGGAGUAAAGUUAAUACCUUUGCUCAUUGACGUUACCCGCAGAAGAAGCACCGGCUAACUCCGUGCCAGCAGCCGCGGUAAUACGGAGGGUGCAAGCGUUAAUCGGAAUUACUGGGCGUAAAGCGCACGCAGGCGGUUUGUUAAGUCAGAUGUGAAAUCCCCGGGCUCAACCUGGGAACUGCAUCUGAUACUGGCAAGCUUGAGUCUCGUAGAGGGGGGUAGAAUUCCAGGUGUAGCGGUGAAAUGCGUAGAGAUCUGGAGGAAUACCGGUGGCGAAGGCGGCCCCCUGGACGAAGACUGACGCUCAGG
rnacentral:rRNA from 1 species